rnacentral:rRNA from 1 species
GGUACUUGUACCGACUGGAUGAGCAGCGAACGGGUGAGUAACGCGUGGGGAAUCUGCCUUUGAGCGGGGGACAACAUUUGGAAACGAAUGCUAAUACCGCAUAAAAACUUUAAACACAAGUUUUAAGUUUGAAAGAUGCAAUUGCAUCACUCAAAGAUGAUCCCGCGUUGUAUUAGCUAGUUGGUGAGGUAAAGGCUCACCAAGGCGAUGAUACAUAGCCGACCUGAGAGGGUGAUCGGCCACAUUGGGACUGAGACACGGCCCAAACUCCUACGGGAGGCAGCAGUAGGGAAUCUUCGGCAAUGGACGAAAGUCUGACCGAGCAACGCCGCGUGAGUGAAGAAGGUUUUCGGAUCGUAAAACUCUGUUGGUAGAGAAGAACGUUGGUGAGAGUGGAAAGCUCAUCAAGUGACGGUAACUACCCAGAAAGGGACGGCUAACUACGUGCCAGCAGCCGCGGUAAUACGUAGGUCCCGAGCGUUGUCCGGAUUUAUUGGGCGUAAAGCGAGCGCAGGUGGUUUAUUAAGUCUGGUGUAAAAGGCAGUGGCUCAACCAUUGUAUGCAUUGGAAACUGGUAGACUUGAGUGCAGGAGAGGAGAGUGGAAUUCCAUGGGUUACCGG